rnacentral:rRNA from 1 species
UACGGAGGAUGCGAGCGUUAUCCGGAUUUAUUGGGUUUAAAGGGUGCGUAGGCGGCGAGUUAAGUCAGCGGUAAAAGCCCGGGGCUCAACCCCGGCCCGCCGUUGAAACUGGCUGGCUUGAGUUGGGGAAAGGCAGGCGGAAUGCGCGGUGUAGCGGUGAAAUGCAUAGAUAUAACUUAGAACACCGAUAGCGAAGGCAGCUUACCAGACUGAGUCUGACGCUGAUGCACGAGAGCAUGGGUAGCGAACAGG